AGAAGAAAAUCUGCCUUUUGGGAGAGUUUCUUCCUACUUGAUAAGUUUGGUGAAGGUCCUUGGGUUGAGUGCUAGGCCAAGAAGUGUAGACUUCCCUGCCUCCCACUUCUGUUAACUCCAAGUCUUCAGAAUUCUGAAUGGAAUGAAAUAGCACCUAGAGAAGGAUCAGCCUUGAAAUUAUACAGCCUUUGUGGGAUCUCCCAGGAACACAGCAGCUUCUCCUUACUGUAUCCUGUCAUCUGAGACAACACCAGCCUUUCCUUGAGGUGAUGCCCUGUCAGCACAUCUCCAAAGCCCAUAUUUUAACUUGGAUUAAGCAGAGAUUUCACUGCAGCUUUGGCGAUGAUAUCGUGCUCAGAGGAGAAGAGAGGCAGGCAGGCAGAUGCCACCCCAUGUUCAGAACUGUAGGAUGACCCUGUAUCUACACUGCUGGGGGCAGCCAGAGACACGUAUUACGAAUACUCCUUUUUCCCUGCUCCACGCGUCCUGGCACCGCGUCCCUCACCUAUGAAGAUUAGUCUUCAGAAAGCCCAACCGAUUAAUCAUAUAAUCCUUAGGUUUUCUACAAAGCUUUCUGUGUCCCAAUAGUAUUGAUUCAUAGCAUGGAGUGAAAGAGGUUUUUAGGAACAAAGUGGCAGGUGGUAGAUUCAGCCUCAACACACCAUCUCCCUUCAGGGAAAGUGACUCUUACAAACAACAGAUGGAUGGUACAAUGGCUAAAGGCUGGGAACUCAAGCUGCAUUAUUAUCUAAAAGGGUUUUUGUUUUAAUUUAAUAGCAGUAUGAUAGG